GAUGAACGCUGGCGGCGCGCCUAACACAUGCAAGUCGAACGAAGCACCUUACCUGAUUCUUCGGAUGAAGGUCUGGUGACUGAGUGGCGGACGGGUGAGUAACGCGUGGGUAACCUGCCCUGUACAGGGGGAUAACAGUUGGAAACGGCUGCUAAUACCGCAUAAGCGCACGAGAGGACAUCCUCUUGUGUGAAAAACUCCGGUGGUACAGGAUGGGCCCGCGUCUGAUUAGCUGGUUGGCAGGGUAACGGCCUACCAAGGCGACGAUUAGUAGCCGGUCUGAGAGGAUGAACGGCCACAUUGGAACUGAGACACGGUCCAAACUCCUACGGGAGGCAGCAGUGGGGAAUAUUGCACAAUGGGGGAGACCCUGAUGCAGCAACGCCGCGUGAGUGAAGAAGUAUUUCGGUAUGUAAAGCUCUAUCAGCAGGGAAGAUAAUGACGGUACCUGACUAAGAAGCUCCGGCUAAAUACGUGCCAGCCGCCGCAGUAA
rnacentral:rRNA from 1 species